rnacentral:rRNA from 1 species
AUGCUGACAUAAGUAACGAUAAAGCGGGUGAAAAGCCCGCUCGCCGGAAGACCAAGGGUUCCUGUCCAACGUUAAUCGGGGCAGGGUGAGUCGACCCCUAAGGCGAGGCCGAAAGGCGUAGUCGAUGGGAAACAGGUUAAUAUUCCUGUACUUGGUGUUACUGCGAAGGGGGGACGGAGAAGGCUAUGUUGGCCGGGCGACGGUUGUCCCGGUUUAAGCGUGUAGGCUGGUUUUCCAGGCAAAUCCGGAAAAUCAAGGCUGAGGCGUGAUGACGAGGCACUACGGUGCUGAAGCAACAAAUGCCCUGCUUCCAGGAAAAGCCUCUAAGCAUCAGGUAACAUCAAAUCGUACCCCAAACCGACACAGGUGGUCAGGUAGAGAAUACCAAGGCGCUUGAGAGAACUCGGGUGAAGGAACUAGGCAAAAUGGUGCCGUAACUUCGGGAGAAGGCACGCUGAUAUGUAGGUGAAGUCCCUCGCGGAUGGAGCUGAAAUCAGUCGAAGAUACCAGCUGGCUGCAACUGUUUAUUAAAAACACAGCACUGUGCAAACACGAAAGUGGACGUAUACGGUGUGACGCCUGCCCGGUGCCGGA